CAUCCCCAGACCUACUUUGUAUUUUAUUUAGAGAGAGGGUUUCACUGAGUUGCUUAACACCUCAUUGUUGCUGAGGCUGGCUUUGAACUCGAAAUCCUCCUGCCUCAGUCUACCGAGCCAUGGAGAUUAUAGGCGUACACCACCAUGCCCACUCCAUGAGGGUUUUUAUUCAUGAGGAAAUCUGACUUCACUUGUGAAACAGGCCUAACUAGAGAAAACUGGUAGCUUCUCUGAUACAUAAGGCCAAUCAAAACAAAGGGAAUAGGAGCACAAGUCAACAUCCAAAUCAAAAGAGAAAUCAGAGGGUGGAGAGAACAUUCCCCAGGCCAUGAACCAGAUUAAACUCAAGGUAAAAGCCAAGAAGCAAGACCUCUACAGCUAAGUCUCAGGGAACAAGAGCCAAAUCAAGAAGCUGAAAAUGCCUUUCUUCUUCCCCAGCCAAUUCCAGAAGGCCAGAGAGGAGGCUGCAGGACCACGACAGCCCGACCCACCAUCCAGAGCACAACCUUGCAACACAGGCACCUCAACCAGGGACCAGAGUGACAGAUCACAGCAAUCACACAUGGCUUCCUUGAGGAUAUCACAGAGGAGCAGAGCCCAUAAGACAAGGGCAGAAGGGCAUGUGCACUUCCCAGAGGAGCCCGUUAGGAAAGAGCAUGCUCUCCUCUGAUCCGAAAAAAAAAUGGAGCCAAGGAGAAAGGAGGCCCACACCACUAAUGGCCAGGCCUUCUGUGCUAUUAGUAUAGCUAUGGUCCUGAGGAUCAGGUGGGAUGAGCACAGGUCAGCAACAGCCUCAAGGGCAUCAGUCUGUCACCGUGAACUUGGGCCUCAUGAGUGCCUGGUUAGGGGACGCACAGGGCUGGACAUCAGGAAGCUCCCAUCUUGUCUACGGAACACCUUACUUCUGAGGUCUUCAAAUCACACAUCCAGAGCGAGCCUUGCUCCCUUCCCAGUCCUGUACUCUGGUCUAAGUUCCUUUCCCACGGAACAGCUCCACUUCCUUCCUUCCUAUAUCCUACAACCACCAAAAAAGAUCAGCUUCACCUCUCAAUCUCUGAAGCCUGUCCAUUCCUGUCCUAAUAGCUGUACCCCAGUGCAGGCAAUGACAGUGGCACCUGGGGACUACUGCAAGAGCCCCAUGAGCACUUCCUGUCUUUGGUGUUCUGAGGGCACUCCGGCGCACUCUCUCUCUACCUCGAAAGCCUUCUGCAGCUUCACACCACAGGCCAACAAAGCCCUACCCGACCGGCCCCCACUCACUUCUCCAGGCUAAAAAGCUUACCAUCAUCCUCUCUUUGUUCUUUGUUCUGAGCUAUUUUUAGUAUGUAACAGUACACGUUCUCUUAAUACAUGUUCCCUUAGUUCAUGUUCUCUCUUAAAACACACUGGCAGCUUCCAAACUUUGCUAUUCUUUGGAAUCUGGGCUCUUUGAAACACUCCUGCUACAGGUUCCCUCUCGCUGACAUUGUUAACUGAGCUGGCACGGACACGGGCACAGGCGUUUCUCAGAGCUCCACAGGUAUUCUAACACAGAGGUUUGCAGUCAUAAUGAUCUGUCUACUAGAACUUUCUUCACCCACUUCACUGGAAAAACCUGAAUCAUCUUUCAGAUCUCAUUUAAAAGUAAAAUCACUUCCCCCACUCUCCACACCAAAUUAACAGUCCUUAUUAACUAUUUAGUGUCUUUGGAUCUUGGGCCACCGCUAAUGUGCCCUGAACUGAAUUUCACUGUAACUGUGUGACCGUCAUUGUUCCCUGCCAGCCUAGACACUGCAACUGGUGGCAGCAGUUCUCAGUGUCUAGGAAAGAAGCAAACACACAUUAUAGGAUGUCAGGUAUCUGGUGAAUAUGCUGAAUAUAGCUAAUCCUAAAAGAAUACAUUCAAAAUAAAAUCAGAGAAACAAGAA